rnacentral:rRNA from 1 species
CACGUAGGGUGCGAGCGUUGUCCGGAAUUAUUGGGCGUAAAGAGCUCGUAGGCGGUGUGUCGCGUCGGCCGUGAAAACCUGGGGCUUAACUCUGGGCGUGCGGUCGAUACGGGCAUCACUGGAGUUCAGCAGGGGAGACUGGAAUUCCUGGUGUAGCGGUGAAAUGCGCAGAUAUCAGGAGGAACACCGGUGGCGAAGGCGGGUCUCUGGGCCGAUACUGACGCUGAGGAGCGAAAGCGUGGGGAGCGAACAGG